AGGGGUAUAGCUCAGUGGUAGUAUAUUCGGAUCAGUAGAUCGAGAGGUCCCUGGUUCAAACCCGGGUGCCCCUU